GGUCAGCUUUGUUCGGUUUAGCUGCCUUAUGAACCUUAAUAAGAAGCUUAUCGUAUGUAAUAAUUAAUUAGAUAUACAGUUCGUGUAAUUUGUCUGUUGUUGUGUAAUAUAUGAAGAUGCUUAGAUAGUUACCAUAAAAGAGUGCGUGUAGUAAGUGUGAGAGUGAGGGUGGUGUGUGGAGGGAACCGGACGCUGAGUGACAACAACAACAGUCAUGGCGAGGAGGCUGCUGCUGGCUUCUGUUGCCUCGCUUUUAUCAACACUUGUAACACACUGCCUGGCUCAGGGUAAGAUUGACUAUCCUGUUUCUGGGAUCCUUAAGAGCCGCUCAAAUGCUACCAGUGAUCACUCUGAGAAAUACUGCAUAAUCUUCUACAGGACUAUUAGCCAUCUAGCUGGAAAUGAAGACUCUGCUCUAUACUUACCUGUAUCUGAUGCCCUGGAGUGGGAUGUGUGUGAUGAGACAGAACUCCCACCAACAAGCAUUGAAAAUAGAUACAUCUUUGUCUCUUCAGAAAAUAAUUGUUCAGCUUUGGAGAGAGCCAGCCGAGUUCAGAGCUUGGGAGGUGCUGGUACCUUAAUUGUGAAGGAAAAACUACAAGCUCCAAAACAAAAUGACACAAACUACAACUUCACUCUUGCCUUCAUUCAGAACUCAAGUUAUGUCAAAAUCAUGGAAGGUGGAGAAAAAGUGACUGUUGGCCUGUAUUCCCCAGAGGAUUCCCCACUGCCCUUGAGUCUUGUCGUUAUUUGGUUCUUGGCUGUCUUCUCUGUUAGUGUUGGUGCUUUCUGGUCUGGGAAAAUACGCCACAAGUUAUAUAUGAGUGAGCAGUGUGGCCAUGAUGGUGAAGAUAAUCAAGAGGCUUACCAUGAGCCUGUCCUACCGCACGAAGAGACUUCCAUGAACCUAUCAGCUAAGAGCAUCCUUGGGUUUGUGGUGCUGAUGUGUACCAUGCUGCUCAGUCUCUACUUCUUUUACCAUAUUCUGGUGUUUGUGAUCAUUGGCAUGUUCUGCAUUGCAUCAGGCGCAGCUGUGUUUUGUUGUUUGCAGCCUCUCGUCUCGCGAAUUCCUUGUGGAACUUGCAGGACACCAUACUUCAACAUCUAUGUUGUCCGUGGAACGUUAGAGGUGCGACAGAUCUUAUUAUUGAUGUUUGCUUAUGGGCUGACCAUUGUGUGGGUGAUCAUGAGAAAAGAGCCAUGGGCUUGGAUACUUCAAGAUAUAUUAGGAAUUGCAUUCAGCAUCAAUGUACUUAGAUUGGUUCGGCUACCAAGCCUCAAGAUCUGCACCAUCUUACUGUGUGGUCUUGUCAUAUAUGAUAUAUUCUUCGUCUUCAUCACCCCAUACAUUACGUCGGAUGGGAAGAGCAUCAUGGUAGAAGUUGCCAAGGGUGGAGCAAGUCAAGAACAGCUUCCCAUGGUCCUCAAGGUUCCAAACUUUGCAUACGUAGAGAUUUCCAACAUCUGUCAGAUUAUGGAUAACUACAACCUCCUUGGCUUUGGUGACAUCCUCAUCCCAGGUCUUCUGGUGUCAUUUGUCCACUCAUUUGAUCUCCAAGUUGGAACUCCCUGUCGUCUCUAUUAUCUUGUGAAUGUAAUAGGUUAUGGAACAGGAUUGGUGGUGACAUUCAUUGCGUUAUGGUUGUUGAAUGGGGCCCAGCCAGCUCUGCUGUAUUUGGUACCAUUUACACUCAUUCCCACAUACUUUGUUGCUGCCAUUAGAGGCGAGGUUGUGGCCAUGUGGCAUGGAGACUCUGAUAAGGUUGAGAUCCAGGUUAUUGAGGGGAAGUUCUCACCCAAGGUAGUAUCCAAUAAUGCGUAAGCUUUGUUAAGUGACCCCCCUGUUUCACCUUGACCUUGUUUGACCUUCCGCAUAUAGUUUGAGAGUGAGAGAGAAGGCGACAUGGAUUCUGCCGAAGAGAAUGUCCCAAAUGGUGCAGCACAAGUUGUCACCUGAUUUUCAUGCAUACAAGCUCCAAGUCCACUCCGUCAUGAGCCUCCAAUCAAUUCCAAGAUCAUGUAUCAACAUCCACCUGACCAGGUGGAAAAGGAACAGUAGGAAAAAUGUCUUUCUACUAGAUUCAUGCUGAUCAGUUUUAAUCAAAGGGGUUAUUAUUGGGGAAUUAUUUUGAGAGAAUUAGACAUUCUUGUAGUUUAGCUCCUUAGGACAUACCCCUGAAUCAAGUGGUCAGCUGUACUAAACUAACAGCUGUACAUGCAAAUUUUACCAUUUUCUAUUUGUGAACUCAUUCAUUUAUUUAAAGUUGCCUUCCAAGCUGUAGAAGGCAACAAGAGGCCUAGCAUAGCAGCCACUGAAUUAAUAAUUGUAUAAAGUAAUAGGCAAACAUAAACAUCACCAUACAUGUUUCAUUCAUCUUUAAAAAUUCAUUUGUUCCUUCAUCUCACUAGAAAAGGUUUAGAGGAGGGAAUAAGUAGGUUUUUCAGAUGUGUUUGAUUGAUCUACAGAAGACUACAUGUCAAACUUUUUAGCACAAGCCUUAUGCAGGAAUUUUAACCUAGAGAAUUAUUAAGAUAUAUUUUGUAUGUCUUAUGUUUGAGAGCAGAGUAUUAUACAAGAUUAUGACUGAGACAUGCCAUGCUGAGAAAAUUUUUAAUAUAGUGUCAAAAUUUUAGUUUAGCUCAUUUAUUAUGCACCCAAUACCCAUCCUAUGGGCAGUAGUGGAAAGGGUUACAGGGACACAUAAUAGGCUCAGGGACUCUACCCCAAAAUUCAUUUAGCUAAGCAAGCUACAGUCUUGAUAUGCUAGCUAAAAAAAAGUAAUGUAUAUUAUUAUAUAAAUAAUUGGUUCGAGAUCAGCCACAAGUACAGUCUCUAAGCUAAGGAGCUUGCAUAUGUGGUGAGCUUGUGUCAUCAUUGAUAUGAUUGUUCAUGAUCGCCAACCUGUGUCCAAGUGAGGAUCACUGGAAGGGUAACACUCACCCACAUUUACUACCUACAGGUAGCAAACUGGGGAUACUAUUUGGCUAAAAUUUCUGGUAGAUCAUUUUUAAUGAAAUAUUUAUACAUUUCAUGAACACUUGUUAUAGAGCUGUCUCCAAAUUCACGUAUUGUUCUGCACUGCAUCACAUAGUGACGGAAGGUGUGCGAAUAAUUAUGCUGACGCAGUUUGCAUUUUGUCUUUUAGAUAUUUUUCAUCAGCAGGUAAUGCAAAUUCCCAGAUAUAUUUAUAGCCGAGUCUAAGCCGGGCAAUAGUAACAUCUAGUAAUCUGCUGAUUUUAUUGGAUGAUCCAUAAAUGUGUGGCUUUUUUUGCAUGAUAGUAUGAUGAUAGAUGGAAUUACUAGUGUAGAUUUCACGUUACUCUAGAUCUACAAGAUUUUGUUGAAGUUCUUUGUGUAUUAUUGUUCUCAAAUGGCUUAUUUGCAAUCCAAGGUUAUAAUCAACUUCUUUGAAGGCAGAUUCUUUGGCUAACUCAUCAUCUCUAUAAUGCAUUCAGAGGCCAACAUGAGGUGGAAUGUCAAAGCAAUGCUCAUUUCUUAAAAACUUGAGGCACAUCAGUCGUGUCUUCUUUAACUGAGAAGGUAAAAUAAAGGACUCGUUCAUUAAGACAGGACUUCUCUGUGUCUCAGGUAAUUAUGCUGUGAUACAGUGAGUAAUCUUGAUUGUGGUUCAUACAUUUCUCAUUUUACCUUGUAAUUUACACUGCCAUGUGCCACCUCCUUAUAAGCCAUGUAUGACACAAAGUAACACAAAGAUGAGAAGCAGACUUUAUUUGUAGAUAACUUUUUGCCUGAGAGAGAUUUAUAAAAUCUAAUAUAGAGAACUAGUAUUUAUGAAGAGUAAAAGGUUGGCGAGGUGAUGUCCGUGAGAUGAUAGACAUGAAGAAUUUAUUGUACACUAUUGACUUUUCCUUCAAUUCUGUCAGUUGAAUUUUCAAUGAAUUUCCUUCAUUCUGUCCAAUUUUGUAUCAUUUAAUGGCAAUAAUGCCAUUGAGUACAUUAAUAACAAGUUCAACAGUGAUACACUUGUUAAGUUAAUAAAUUCACUGACAUCGCAUUGUCUUGCUUCUUUUUUCUUUUUGUGUCUGUUAUAUGUGAUAAAGAGUCCCAACAGGUGAAAUAUCUAUACAAAUAAGUUUGCUCUCAUCUUGGUGUUUAGCUUGAAUCUACAGCAUUGUCAGCACUUUGUGCUCUCUUCAACCACAUAUAGAACUUUGCAUAAUGAUUUAAUGGUUCUUAAUGAAUGACGGAAGAUCAGUACAGUACAGUACUUACUAUUCUCUGAUGAGGUGGUGGUGUAUUUCCACAUUAAGCACAGAGGAUUAUUCACUCAUACUUGUUAGGUUAAUACAUAAGCAAAAUAGUGUCCUCCAUGGAGUAUGGAAAGAAAGAACAUUGUUGUGUUUACUUAUUUAUAGAGUGUGGCUUCACAAAGUGUGUGUACCAGGAAAACAUUUGCAUACUGCCAGUUUUAAAAUAACCAUCUUUUAUGUGCAUUUGGUGACUGAAUAUUAAUGCAUAAUAAAAAAGUACAGUACAGUGCUCUAUUUAAUUCUUUUAGAUGAAUUAGUGCCAGAGCAAUGAAUAUUUUAUGGAUGCAGUAGUUUUAAUUGACCUUCUUUGAAAUAGUAUUAUCAGUGAUAUUAAAAUGUAUGCUCUCUCUUUUUAUACAAAUUAUUUUCUUUAUAUGCAUUAUAUUUAAUUUUAAAUAUAAUGCAUACUUUAUACUGCUUGACCAAAACAAAUGAAAGCUAUCGUUUUAAAAGUUUUUACAGAAACAAAAUAUACAUAAAAAGCUCACACAAAAUUACUAACAUAUGGAAUUCAUGUACUGUACUUAAUUGCAAAAAUAUAAGUACUAUUCCAUAACACCCAUUAAAUGUUUUACUUCAUUUUUCAAACAUAUGAAUCUUUGAAACCAACUGAACUUGACAGUGUCUUGGAUAUUUUUGUAUAAGGCUUUUAUCUUCGCUGUGGUUUUCACACAAAAAUUAUUUGCAAUCCAAGGUUAAACACAAGUUUGUUGUAGAACUAGUGACUUCUGUUGUCCAUGUCAGUCUUAUUGAACAUUUCCAUUGUGUUGAACAUAAUUAAGGCGUUGCUAGUUUGUGCUGAAAUGUUAAAAUAAAGUGGCAUUGUAAACUAUUGUUGUUUUCGUAACAUGGUGGUGUACAGCACUCUUUUGUGUAAUGUGGUGUACAUCACCGUAGUUUUAGUAACACAGUGGUGGUGUACAUCACUGUUAUUUUUGUAAUGUGGUGGUGUACAUCACUGUUGUUUUUGUAAUGUGGUGGUGUACAUCACUGUUUUGAGUAAUGUGGUAGUGUACAUCACUUGUUUUGUAACAUGGUGGUGGUGUACAUGAAUGUGUAACAUAGUGGUGUACGUCACUUGUUUUUGUAACAAGGUGGUGGCGUACAUCACUGUAGCUUGUAAAAUAGUGGUGUUGCACAUCACUGUUUUUUAAUUAUUGCUAUGAAAUACAAACACUGCAGUUUUUUUAUGUAUUGCUACAUUAUUCAUCACUGUACAGUGGCAAUAUGAGAAUUAUGGCUUGGACUGUGUAUACUGCUGUGUGUAUGCAGUUGAUCCUCAGAAUAUUACAUUGCCAACAAUUUAAAUGGUCAGUAAUUCCUGAAGGUUGUUGAGGGACUCACAUUUCCUGUGUUUGGGCAUUUAGUGAUAAUCCACCCUGAACUAUGAUUAAUUUUAUUCAUUGGUUUUGUUAUACUGUAAUUUGUUAUCUCUUGUGCCUGUCUCUUUGUGAAUUUGAAUUAGGGUGUGAAAUGGUAUCCACAGAUGUUUUAGUGUAUUUAUAAUGUUCUUUGGUGGUGGGACAUACCAUGUCAAUGAAAGAGAAUACUUAUUGGAACAGUUUUGAGGUGUACGAGUCCAAUUGGGGGAUUUGAAAUUAUUUUUGACUACGAUGUAAUAUUCCUUAUUUCUUUGGUGCCAGAAACCAUGAGACUAUGCUGAAUAAGGUUGGGGAUUCAAAUGAAUUUUUUCACACAUAAAGUAAUUAAACUAGUUAGCAAUCAAAGUUCCAUGUAAAUUUGUAAGAUGUGAAUUUUUUAAAUUUUUGGCUCUGUUAUUGCUUGAGAGUUAUAUUUGAAAUAUAUGUUCACUGCUAUACAUCCAAGUGUAAUAAAUAUUUUGAUACAG